rnacentral:rRNA from 1 species
UACAUGGGGUGCAAACGUUGCUCGGAAUUAUUGGGCGUAAAGCGCGCGUAGGCGGUUACUCAAGUCGGAUGUGAAAGCCCUCGGCUUAACUGAGGAAGUGCACCCGAAACUGAGUAGCUAGAGUACCAAAGAGGGUCGCGGAAUUCCCGGUGUAGAGGUGAAAUUCGUAGAUAUCAGGAAGAACACCCGUGGCGAAGGCGGUUCUCUGGGACGGUACUGACGCUGAGACGCGAAAGCGUGGGGAGCGAACAGG